rnacentral:rRNA from 1 species
GACGAACGCUGGCGGCGUGCUUAACACAUGCAAGUCGAACGAAGUGGCGAACGGGUGAGUAACGCGUAAUCAACCUGCCCUUCAGAGGGGGACAACAGUUGGAAACGACUGCUAAUACCGCAUACUGAAGGAGGGGAUUGCGUCUGAUGAGCUAGUGGGAGGGGUAACGGCCCACCAAGGCGAUGAGCAGUCGCCGGGCUGAGAGGUUGAACGGCCACAUUGGGACUGAGACACGGCCCAGACCCCUACGGUGUGCAGCAGUGGGGAAUCUUCCGCAAUGGACGAAAGUCUGACGGAGCAACGCCGCGUGAGUGAUGACGGCCUUCGGGUUGUAAAGCUCUGUUAAUCGGGACGCGGUACCGGAAUAGAAAGUCACGGCUAACUACGUGCCAGCAGCCGCGGUAAUUC